UACCAGCACCCCGAGUGGUCGGGACGUUUAUUGGGCCUAAAGCAUCCGUAGCCGGUUCUACAAGUCUUCCGUUAAAUCCAACUGCUUAACAGGUGGGCUGCGGAAGAUACUAUAGAGCUAGGAGGCGGGAGAGGCAAGCGGUACUCGAUGGGUAGGGGUAAAAUCCGUUGAUCCAUUGAAGACCACCAGUGGCGAAGGCGGCUUGCCAGAACGCGCUCGACGGUGAGGGAUGAAAGCUGGGGGGAGCAAACAGG
rnacentral:rRNA from 1 species